GCCCACCUCUCCCAGGACCUGGGAAUAGGAAAGCUGUCUGUCCAAACACACCUGGGCACCCAGGCACAGAACCCGGUUAGUGUCUCUGGGGGCAGCACCAAGGGUUGCUGGGGGCAAGCCGAGGCCCAACCCUCCUCCCUGGCGUUGGGCGUGUCUGGAAGCCGUUUCAUUCACAGCCCGUCGACUUCGCCCUUGGUGGCUUUGCAGGCAAACGGGAAAAGGUUGAAGGUGCCAGCCUGCCCAGCCUGUGUGGUUCUGCGGUGGUCCCACACUGAAUCACCUGUCAGAGGGCUGUCCGUGGUCCCUCGGGGCUGGGGUCUCACACCCCCUUGUCAGGACUGCAGGCCUGGCACUGCUGCGUGGCUCAGGGUGCCACCAUCCCGCACUGAUGAAGGGCUGACUGCGCCUGACACCACUAAUUGAGCUUCCUCCGAGUGGGACGAGCGAGCGAUCUCAUUUCUAGGAUGAUCAAAUCCUGCCAGGGCUUGAAGAAAGCUACUCAAUCAUGGGAUUGGAAGGAGGGAGCCCCGUGCGGCUGGCACUUCAUUCCCGCGGAGAAAAUUGUUCCCGAGAGGCCCCAGGCCCAGACGUGGAAAUAAACGCAGCCACACUCCGUUCCCCUGGAGAUGACACGGACUCCCCAGAUGCCCCACUGUCCGCCCAGCACUCAAGUUCAUGAGUGUCUCUCCCCCAGCUCACCCCGCGAGCCUCUGCCCUGGGUGCCCUCUGGAGCUGACAGGGCCACAGCCAAGGCACCAUCCCUUCAUCGUGGCUGGAGUGGAACCUCUUUGCGCCCUGGGCAGCACUUCUCAGAGGGCCAGGGACUGCUGCGUGGACUACUGUCCCGCACAGGGCAGGGAGUACGCCAUGUUGGUGAUGCUGAUGUGGGGGGCAGUAGCCAAGGAUCUGCCGGCUUGCCUGCCUUGGGAAGUUCUGGGUCCUCAACUAGACACUACCUAGACUUGAGGAGUGGCCCCAGGCCCCCACCCACCCUGCCUGGGCCCUGCCAGCUGGGGCUUCCAGUCUGCCGGUGCGUCCUCCCUGGCCCCUGGGGCUGGGGUGCAGUGGGUCAGCCAUGGGAGGCAAGGGGGCUCCGUGCGAUGCUACUUCUCACCCCUCAGGAUGGCAAAAACUCAGCCCUGAGAGAGGCUAUGUCCAGACACCACAUUUAGGGCAUUGGCGCGUGACAGGUGCGGCAGCGGGUAGAGCCACCACUCAGUGGCCUGGACCGAGAGCAGGACCCAGGCCCAGCAGGAGUCAGAGAAACGUGAAGUGCCAGGCGGGAGGCCCAGGGGCUGGGAGGGGCCGGGAUUCUCCCAAAUCUCACAUCGACCCAUUCCAGGCUUCUAAGAUCUGCGGCCAGGCCCGAGAACAGGCAGAGAGGAGGCCACUAUGGGGUCCCUGCACCGGAGGGAGCCGGGCGAUCUGCCAGCAGCCAAGGCUCACAGGAGCAGGACCUCGCAGGCCGCGCAGGGGAGAGGACGUCUGCAGCAACAAGCUUUUCAGAAUUCCUCCUUCCCAGGGGCCCAGGGCCUUCCUCUGCCUCCGAGGAGUUCUCAGGCCAGUCCCUGAGACAAGACAGGCUGGAGGGAGGCAUGCUGAGCAGGCAGGCACCCCAUGUGCGACCCUCCGCGGGAAUCGCCCGAGCAGCAUCUGGAGAAGGUGGAGGGUGGGAAGCUCCCGUGGAGUGGACCAUCUGGUCCUCCUAUCUUGCUCCCCUCCUGCCCCCCGAGGCCCCCUGCCGAUCUCCCCAACCCGCCAGCCUCCCGCCCAUAAGGUAGGUCUAUAGCCACUGAAUCAGCUGGGGGCCAGGGUGUGAGACCUGGAUCCUCCUGGGGCCACCAGUGACUUGAAGGGUGGCCUCAGGCGGGGCGGGUGACCCCUCCCUGGUCUGAGUUGUGGCUUCUUGGAGACCAGUAGCCCCUGGGGUCCCCCAGCUGUUAAAGUCUGGGAGGAGAGACUCUGCCUAGCCCCUCGUGUGGGACAUCCUGAAGUCGGGCCCAGCCCAGAAGCCUCCUGAGGGUUUGGAGUCACUGCUGGAGGACAGUCACCCCUGCAGGGAGCGGUCCAGCAGAGGUGGGGCCUCUCUGGGGCAGUGGCCUGAGAGGCUGGGCCACCCAGGGCCACCACCCGGGAGCCCCAGGACCUUAGGCAUGUCCAGCUCAUCUUGCAGAAAUAUCUGACUGACGCGGUGGGUCUGGCUGCAGAAUUCUCAUCUGUCUCCACGCUCCUUUGAGAGCGCACAGCAGAACUGCUGCCCCCGCAGCCUCGCGGGUCCCUCCUGACCCUAGACGAGGCGGGCUCCUCCUCCCUGGCCACCAGGUGCUCCUGGGACCCGGGUUUAGCACGCUCCUGCAUGAGAUGUGUUUCAUGAUCACUCCGUGCCGUAAUUGGAUAUUAAAAAUCUCACUGUGCCUUCAUAAAAUAACAUGGAACGAAUAAUAAAAUAUCAUAGUUAGAAAGUCAUCAAAAUGUAAUAAAAUGGUGUUAUUACAAAGGCUUAAA